rnacentral:rRNA from 1 species
UAUUGGACAAUGUGGGGAACCCUGAUCCAGCGACGCCGCGUGAGUGAAGAAGUAUUUCGGUAUGUAAAGCUCUAUCAGCAGGGAAGAAAGAAAUGACGGUACCUGACUAAGAAGCCCAGUCUCACUACGUGCCAGCAGCCGCGGUAAUACGUAGGGUGCAAGCGUUAUCCGGAUUUACUGGGUGUAAAGGGAGCGUAGACGGUUAUGCAAGUCUGAAGUGAAAGGCGGGGGCCCAACCCCCGGACUGCUUUGGAAACUGUGUAACUGGAGUGCAGGAGAGGUAAGUGGAAUUCCUAGUGUAGCGGUGAAAUGCGUAGAUAUUAGGAGGAACACCAGUGGCGAAGGCGGCUUACUGGACUGUAACUGACGUUGAGGCUCGAAAGCGUGGGGAGCAAA